rnacentral:rRNA from 1 species
UAUAUUAAGUUGUUGCAGUUAAAAAGCUCGUAGUUGAAUUUCGGGAUUGACGUGACGGUCGUGCCUUAAGGGGUAUGAACUGUCGCAGUUGAUUUCUCACCUUCUGGAGAAGCAUGAUGUCCUUAAUUGGGUGUCAUGUGGAACCAGGACCUUUACCUUGAAAAAAUUAGA